rnacentral:rRNA from 1 species
ACGCGUUAAAUCGACGCUGGGGAGUACGGCCGCAAGGUUAAAACUCAAAUGAAUUGACGGGGCCCGCACAAGCGGUGGAGCAUGUGGUUUAAUUCGAUGCAACGCGAAGAACCUUACCUACUCUUGACAUCCAGAGAAUUUAGCAGAGAUGCUUUAGUGCUUUCGGGAACUCUGAGACAGGUGCUGCAUGGCUGUCGUCAGCUCGUGUUGUGAAAUGUUGGGUUAAGUCCCGCAACGAGCGCAACCCUUAUCCUUUGUUGCCAGCACAUUAUGGUGGGAACUCAAAGGAGACUGCCGGUGAUAAACCGGAGGAAGGUGGGGAUGACGUCAAGUCAUCAUGGCCCUUACGAGUAGGGCUACACACGUGCUACAAUGGCGUAUACAAAGAGAAGCGACCUCGCGAGAGCAAGCGGAACUCAUAAAGUACGUCGUAGUCCGGAUUGGAGUCUGCAACUCGACUCCAUGAAGUCGGAAUCGCUAGUAAUCGUAGAUCAGAAUGCUACGGUGAAUACGUUCCCGGGCCUUGUACACACCGCCCGUCACACCAUGGGAGUGGGUUGCAAAAGAAGUAGGUAGCUUAACCUUCGGGAGGGCGCUUACCACUUUGUGAUUCAUGACUGGGGUGAAGUCGUAACAAGGUAACCA